CCCCCUCCUACCUGCCGCACCGCACGCACCCUUCUGUCUCUCUGUCUGAGGGGCUACAGGUGUUGUCUGGGGGUCCUGAUGGCUGGUCCAGUGUCUCCUCCCCGGGCCCCUCCUCCUCAGCCCUACCCGUGACCACACCCUCCUCACCCCGUCCACCAAUAGCAACAGUCAGUACCCUUGUUUGUGGACGGUCGGGCGUACAGACGGGAGUCCUGCCUCUUCUCCCUGCGCCCAGCUUCACGGACCAAUCAACAGUGAGAGCCACCCACAGCCACCCAAUCACGUCCGGCUGGGCGGGCCCGGUUGGCCACCUGUCUCCAGCCAUUCCUUCUAACAAACUAUGUGAUUGGUCGAUGCCCACAUGGGCAUGAUCAAUACUGCCCUGGGACCCGGCCCUGGAAGCCCUUUAAUGAACACAUCUUAGAUAAUAGGCGUUCCUCUGCCCAGGCGUUGCCAGAUGUUACAUCUUCUGGAAAGGUAUUUUAAGUAUCAGCUAACCACAUCAUAUUUCAUAGCAACCUGAUGCCCGACAGCAGUCGAUGACGUGGCACGGAACCACUGGUUGAUGAAUGCAACGUCUGAGCAGGGGAAGGCGACCAACGUGUGUGCGCAUGUGAUGCCUGUGUUAGUGUGUGUGCACCUCAAAAAACGAAGGCCUAGAUUCAAUCAGAUCAAGUGUUAACCGGCAAAAGCAGACACCUGCAUAGCGGAUGUUUUGCCUUUGCUGGAGGUGGAUCUGCGUUGGAGCUGUCAAAUCGGCGAGCAGCUGCUCUUGUGAUCAUUGUCACAAAGCCACACUGUCGCACUGGCGUUAGAAGUUCAGAAGGAGAAAGUGGAGGCUCUAUAGAAAUAAUGACGCUCACAUUGAAAAACAUUUAACCAAAUAGUUUCUAUCAUCAUAAUGGAGGUGUAGAUCACAUCUCACAUUCCACCGUUCUGACUUAGAAACAAGGCUGCAUGGGAUUUCUGCUCAUGCCACUCCGUGCAGCCAAUGGCAAUGUCCGCUUUAGGUAUAAUGCCAGGAGGCGCUUGUGGAUUUGACAGCUUCUAACGCAGUCCUACCUCCGGCACCGCCGAAACGACCGCUGUGCGGAUGUUGGACAAAGUGGAUCUGAUUGAAUCAACCCUAAAUGUCUCUGCCUGCUUUCAAAUGACUUAUCAUUUUGUUUGUGGUUCAGCCCUGACAGACUAACUCUGGGCCCUGACAGACUAGCUCUGGGACCUGACAGACUAACUCUGAGCCCUGGGCCCUGACAGACUAACUCUGGGCCCUGACAGACUAACUCUGGGCCCUGACAGACUAACUCUGGGACCUGACAGACUAACUCUGAGCCCUGGGCCCUGACAGACUAACUCUGGGCCCUGACAGACUAGCUCUGGGACCUGACAGACUAACUCUGAGCCCUGGGCCCUGACAGACUAACUCUGAGCCCUGGGCCCUGGGCCCUGACAGACUAACUCUGGGCCCUGACAGACUAACUCUGGGCCCUGACAGACUAACUCUGGGCCCUGGUCCCUGACAGACUAACUCUGAGC